CCGCGCUGGGGUCUGCGUGGAGGGGCGCCCCCAGCUGACCAUGCGGUGGAGAGACACUGCGCUGCAGCCCAGAUGGAAGUAUCGGAGCGCAUCUCAUCCACCGACAGAAGGACAAAACUGCGUCCUGGUGGUGACGUCUCCUGGUGUGGUCACGUCCAAGCAUUGACAGACAUGCUGUUCUCCUUUACACCGUUUGCCUUUUAAUCUCCGUUGUGUGACUGUGAAGUUCUGGAGGCCGGAAGUUGGAGAUCAGGCUUGGUUUCUUCUGCUGCCGCUCUCCGGGGCUUGUAGAUGGCCGUCUUCGUCCUGUGUCUUCCCCCUGUGCAAGUGCAUCCCUGGUGUCUCUCUGUGUCCCAGUUUCCUUUUCUUAUAAGGACAUUAGAGGACGGCCCGCCUUAAUGGCCUGAUUUUAAGUUAACUACCUCUUUAAAGGCCUUACCUUCAAAGUCUCAUUCUAAGGCCCUGGGGUUUGGACUUCAACACAGAAAUUUGGAGGGGGACACAGUUCAGCCCAUAAAAGUGGGGGUGACUACACUUUCAUCCAAAGGCUACCCAAUAUCAGAACAGGGCUGAGAUGGAGCCAGAGAGGUGACAGCCAUCUUCCUGAGAGCCUGCUUUGAAGCCUGAUGCAGUAACUGAUGAGGCCGGACGUGUCCUCCUUGAGGAAGAGACGAGCCACGGUCUGGCUACACCGAACCUGACCUCCAGCUCCCGUCCUAUCCCUGACCUUCUGCCCGUAGCACAGCAGCCUGAGUGGUCCUUUUGUCAAAUUGGAUGCACCUUACUCAACACCUGUCAUCUCCUCAUCUCACUUGGAGAAAAAUUUGAAGACAGCCAUCCUUCAGACUUUCCAGGCUUGUUCCCACCUAAGGUACUACAUGUGCCCGAAACGCUCUUCCUGCACGUCAGCCUGGCGUGUGCCGAAGGCACUGCCCAGACCCCCACUCAGGACCAAAGCUGCUGGCAGCGCUGGCUGAGCUCCCCUUUGGGGACUUAGCUUACUCCAGAUCACAGUCCCGUCCCCCAGGCAGCUCAUGCCCAAUAACAGCAAUGGUUAGCAAGGCCCACCCCCAUGUCUCGGUCUGGUACAAUUCUGCAGGCCAUCCCAGCUGCGAGGAUCCCUGAGGCCUUUAUUGGGAUUGUCUGAUUGCUCACCUUCUCCCUCCGCCUGUGCCAUGCUGCUUCCAUUGCAGGUCUGGAUCCUGAGACACUCCUGGGUGACCUUCCUAAAGUCAUCCUCACAGGGGCCUUGUCCCAAGAAAAUCUAUGAGGCUCGUUCCCUCUCUUCCUUCAGGUUCUUCUCAGUCCUCUUGUUCUUUUCUUUUCCUUUUUUUAAAAUUUUUAAAAUAUUUAUUUAUUUAUUUGGCUGUACGGAGCCUUAGUUGCAGUACCAGGGGUAUUAGAUCCUGGCAUGCCAGGAUCUUUAGUUGCAGCAUGUAAACUCUUUACUUGUGACAUGUGAAAUCUAGUUCCCUGACCAGAGAUCGGACCUGGGCCCCCUGCAUUGGGAGCACAGAGUCUUAGCCUCUUGACCUCCAGGGAAGUCCCUCUUUUCUUUUUUUAAAUUGAGAUGACAUUCACAGAACAUACAGUUAACCAUUCUAAAGGGGAAAACUCACUGUCCUUUAGUGCAUUCCCGAUGUUGAACAAUCACCUUCUCUAUCUAGUCCUAAAGUUUUCAUCAACCCCUGAAGGAAACCGCCCACUCAUUCAGCCGUGGCUGCCGUUUCCCCCUUCCCCAACCACUGGCAACCACUAACCUACCUUCUGUCCCUAUGGCUUUACCUAUUCUACAAGUGGAAUCACAUAAUAUGUGGACUUUUGUGUCUGACUUCUUUCACUGAGCAUCAUGCUUUCAAGGUUCAUCCGUAUUGUAGCCUGUGUUAGAGCUUCUUUCUAUUUUAUGGCUGAGUAUGGUAGGCUUCCUGGUGGCUCAGUGGUAAAGAAUCUGCCUGCAGUGCAGGAGCUGCAGGAGAUACUGGUUUGAUCACUGUCUUGGGAAGAUCUCCUGGAGG